CGUAGGUGAACCUGCGGAAGGAUCACUA
rnacentral:rRNA from 1 species